GAGUUUGAUCGUGGCUCAGGAUGAACGCCGGCGGUGUGCCUAAUACAUGCAAGUCGAGCGAACCACUUCGGUGGUGAGCGGCGAACGGGUGAGUAACACGUAGGUUAUCUGCCCAUCAGACGGGGACAACGAUUGGAAACGAUCGCUAAUACCGGAUAGGACGAAAGUUUAAAGGUGCUUCGGCACCACUGAUGGAUGAGCCUGCGGCGCAUUAGCUAGUUGGUAGGGUAAAGGCCUACCAAGGCGACGAUGCGUAGCCGACCUGAGAGGGUGAUCGGCCACACUGGGACUGAGACACGGCCCAGACUCCUACGGGAGGCAGCAGUAGGGAAUCUUCGGCAAUGGGGGCAACCCUGACCGAGCAACGCCGCGUGAGUGAAGAAGGUUUUCGGAUCGUAAAGCUCUGUUGUAAGUCAAGACGGGUAGUGAGAGUGGAAAGUUCACACUGUGACGGUAGC
rnacentral:rRNA from 1 species